rnacentral:rRNA from 1 species
GACGAACGCUGGCGGCGUGCUUAACACAUGCAAGUCGAACGGUAAGGCCUUCGGGUACACGAGUGGCGAACGGGUGAGUAACACGUGGGUGAUCUGCCCCCUACUCUGGGAUAAGCCUGGGAAACUGGUCUAAUACCGGAUAUGACCUCCUUCUGCAUGGUUGGUGGUGGAAAGUUUUUUCGGUAGGGGAUGAGCCCGCGGCCUAUCAGCUUGUUGGUGGGGUAAUGGCCUACCAAGGCGACGACGGGUAGCCGGCCUGAGAGGGCGACCGGCCACACUGGGACUGAGACACGGCCCAGACUACUACGGGAGGCAGCAGUGGGGAAUAUUGCACAAUGGGCGAAAGCCUGAUGCAGCGACGCCGCGUGGGGGAUGACGGCCUUCGGGUUGUAAACCCCUUUCAGUCGGGACGAAGCGAGAGUGACGGUACCGAUAGAAGAAGCACCGGCCAACUACGUGCCAGCCGCCGCAGUAACAC